rfam:Verrucomicrobiaceae bacterium TMED76 38735, whole genome shotgun sequence.
GGGGAGUGAUGGGUGCCUGGUGGCCUCCGCGGUCUUCAAAACCGUUGAGGGUAGUUAUGCUGCCCUGGUUGGUUCGAUUCCUUCCCUCUCC